UCCUGACUACACUUCCACACAAGCGUUGACUGAGACGUUGUAACUGAGUUAACGGAUCAAACGGUUGGCACGUAACAAAAAUUGGCGCAGUCGGUAGGAUAUUCAAUAGAAGGCAAUUCCACAUCGGAACCAUCGAGGAGCUGAACAACUUGCAGUCCUUCAACUUCUCAACUUCCAUUGAAUAGCUGAUACUCCACCGGAUCAUUCAGUCAACAACAUGUCUUCAAUCAACAAUUGUUUGUACUUGUCCACUAAAAGUUUAACCAAGAUGGCGAUAGGACGAAGAACAAACAACCAAAAAUUAAAAAACCCAAACCAACGACACGGACACUUUCACACAAUGUUGGUCGGUGUGGCGCGGUCCGGUUAAUGUUGCGCGGUGCCGGUAAUUUAAAUAUGACGGUGUACAGUAAUCAACGACGGUGCGAUGGAACGGAAAUUAUUGUCGUGAACCCAGUUUCAAUAAUAAUACGCGGAUCAUUCUCCGCGGACCCCCCAUCAAAUAAACCAAACCAUUACGUGUUACCAGUGACGGAUCCAGACCAAGAUAACGGGGGGAGGGGAGGAUUUUCAACGGGCACACAUGAUAUAGUAUUAUCAGUGCCCAACAAGAGUAGUAUUAAAAUAACCUGACCGAAUUUAAAUAUUUGAAUACGUCCAGACCAUUCCAGGCGAUUUUGAGUCUAAUAAGUGGCUAAACCAUUUAUGGCUGAGUGUAUUGCUUGUUCAAAGUCUGCAUAAAUUAUAUUUGGUGCACAAUGUAAUGGAUUACGAAGUGGUAUUUACAGAUAAGAUAUUGAUGAGAAUCGAGAUUAUGUACGAGUUUAUCACCAAACAAUAUUCACAGUUGCUGAAAAACCCAUGGCCCAAGAAAACCGCGGAUGCAACUCGGAUAUGUCGUGACAAAACCGGAGAUGCAACUCGGACAAAAUAUCAUUUAUGGAUGCAAUUCGUAUGCGCCGGAGCGAUGGCAUAUAUAGAAAAUAUUUUAUAUAAAUUAUGUUAGAAUAAGUCAAAAUAUUAAGUAAUUA